rnacentral:rRNA from 1 species
GUCAAUAGUCUAACGACUGAACCAGGCACUUGGAAGAAUGAAUAGCGAAAGCUAAUUGUAUUAUUUUAUAGUGCGAUAUCAACUACGUUGAAUAAAAUUCUGGGUAAAAUUAUGAUGAUGACAUUGUUUACCCAUGUGUCUUGACCAAAUUACGUGCCAGCAGUCGCGGUAAUACGUAGAAGACUAGUGUUAUUCAUCUUUAAUAGGUUUAAAGGGUACCUAGACGGUAAACCAAGCUCUUGCCACGCAAGACAGGACUAGUUUACUAGAGUUACUUACAAGGAGGCUAUAAAGUACUAAUGGUGUAGAGAUGAAAUUUUGUGAUACCAUUUCUCGAAAGGGAAGUUAUGGCACUGAUAAAGGCGAAAGCAUCCUCUUAUGUGAUAACUGACGUUGAGGGACGAAGGCUUUGGAUCGCGAAUAGGAUUAGAUACCCUAGUAGUCAAAGCAGAAAAUGAUGAGUGUCAUAGAUUAGAAAAGUAAUUUUAUUCUAUAAAUGAAAGUGUAAGCACUCCACCUCAAGAGUAAUUUGGCAACAUUGGAACUGAAAUCAUUAGACCGUUUCUGAAACCAGUAGUGAAGUAUGUUGUUUAAUUUGAUAAUCCGCAAAACACCUUACCACAACUUGAAUAGAGAUAUCAUAUAUAUCUUUACAAGCGUUGCACGGCUGUCUACAGUUAAUGUCGUGAGACUUUGGUUAGAUCCAUUAAAUUAACGCAAGCCCUUACUUUAUUUUUAAAUAGAGUUGUUCCCCGCUAUAUUGGAUAUGAUAACAGGGACUAAGACAAGUCAUCAUGGCCUUAAUGUUGUGGGCUAUAGACGUGCCACAUAGACCUUUACAAAAGGAUGUGAAAUUGUGAAAUUAAAC